GAGGAAGACGCAGUGAACUGAAACAUCUAAGUAGCUGCAGGAAGAGAAAGCAAAAGCGAUUGCCUUAGUAGCGGCGAGCGAAACGGCAGGAGGGCAAACCGAAGAGUUUACUCUUCGGGGUUGUAGGACUGCAAUGUGGACUUAAAGAUUAUAGAAGAACUACCUGGGAAGGUAGGCCAAAGAGAGUAAUAGCCUCGUAUUCGAAAUAGUCUUUAUACCUAGCAGUAUCCUGAGUACGGCGAGACACGUGGAAUCUCGUCGGAAUCUGGGAGGACCAUCUCCCAACCCUAAAUACUCUCUAGUGACCGAUAGUGAACCAGUACCGUGAGGGAAAGGUGAAAAGCACCCCGGGAGGGGAGUGAAAUAGAACCUGAAACCGUGUGCCUACAACAAGUUCGAGCCCGUUAAUGGGUGAGAGCGUGCCUUUUGUAGAAUGAACCGGCGAGUUACGAUAUGAUGCGAGGUUAAGUUGAAGAGACGGAGCCGUAGGGAAACCGAGUCUGAAUAGGGCGCUUUAGUAUUAUGUCGUAGACCCGAAACCAUGUGACCUACCCAUGAGCAGGUUGAAGGUGCGGUAAAACGCACUGGAGGACCGAACCAGGGCACGUUGAAAAGUGCUUGGAUGACUUGUGGGUAGCGGAGAAAUUCCAAACGAACUUGGAGAUAGCUGGUUCUCUCCGAAAUAGCUUUAGGGCUAGCGUCGACAUUAAGAUUCUUGGAGGUAGAGCACUGUUUGGGUGAGGGGUCCAUCCCGGAUUACCAAUCUCAGAUAAACUCCGAAUGCCAAUGAAUUAUGGUCGGCAGUCAGACUGCGAGUGCUAAGAUCCGUAGUCGAAAGGGAAACAGCCCAGACCACCAGCUAAGGUCCCAAAAUAAUUGUUAAGUGGAAAAGGAUGUGGGGUUGCACAGACAACUAGGAUGUUAGCUUAGAAGCAGCUAUUCAUUCAAAGAGUGCGUAAUAGCUCACUAGUCGAGUGACCCUGCGCCGAAAAUGUACCGGGGCUAAAACAAUUUACCGAAGCUGUGGAUACCUUUAUAGGUAUGGUAGGAGAGCGUUCUAUGUGUGAAGAAGGUGUACCGUGAGGAGUGCUGGAACGCAUAGAAGUGAGAAUGCCGGUAUGAGUAGCGAAAGACAGGUGAGAAUCCUGUCCACCGUAAGACUAAGGUUUCCAGGGGAAGGCUCGUCCGCCCUGGGUUAGUCGGGACCUAAGGAGAGACCGAAAGGUGUAUCCGAUGGACAACAGGUUGAUAUUCCUGUACUAGAGUAUGUAGUGAUGGAGGGACGCAGUAGGCUAACUAAAGCAGACGAUUGGAAGUGUCUGUCUAAGCAGUGAGGUGUGAAUUGAGUUAAAUGCUUAGUUCUAUAACAUUGAGCUGUGAUGGGGAGCGAAGUUUAGUAGCGAAGUUAGUGACGUCACACUGCCAAGAAAAGCUUCUAGCGUUUAAACAUACUCUACCCGUACCGCAAACCGACACAGGUAGUCGAGGCGAGUAGCCUCAGGUGAGCGAGAGAACUCUCGUUAAGGAACUCGGCAAAAUGACCCCGUAACUUCGGGAGAAGGGGUGCUGGCUUAAAGUCAGCCGCAGUGAAUAGGCCCAAGCAACUGUUUAUCAAAAACACAGCUCUCUGCUAAAUCGUAAGAUGAUGUAUAGGGGGUGACGCCUGCCCGGUGCUGGAAGGUUAAGAGGAGUGCUUAGCGUAAGCGAAGGUAUGAAUUGAAGCCCCAGUAAACGGCGGCCGUAACUAUAACGGUCCUAAGGUAGCGAAAUUCCUUGUCGGGUAAGUUCCGACCCGCACGAAAGGCGUAAUGAUUUGGGCACUGUCUCAACGAGAGACUCGGUGAAAUUUUAGUACCUGUGAAGAUGCAGGUUACCCGCGACAGGACGGAAAGACCCCAUGGAGCUUUACUGCAGUUUGAUAUUGAGUGUCUGUACCACAUGUACAGGAUAGGUAGGAGUCUAUGAGAUCGGGACGCCAGUUUCGAAGGAGACGAUGUUGGGAUACUACCCUUGUGUUAUGGCCACUCUAACCCGGAUAGGUGAUCCCUAUCGGAGACAGUGUCUGACGGGCAGUUUGACUGGGGCGGUCGCCUCCUAAAAGGUAACGGAGGCGCCCAAAGGUUCCCUCAGAAUGGUUGGAAAUCAUUCGCAGAGUGUAAAGGUAUAAGGGAGCUUGACUGCGAGAGCUACAACUCGAGCAGGGACGAAAGUCGGGCUUAGUGAUCCGGUGGUUCCG
rnacentral:rRNA from 1 species